rnacentral:rRNA from 1 species
CGCAUCUGUGCAUGCAGCAUAUCAAUAAGCGGAGGAAAAGAAACUAACAAGGAUUCCCCUAGUAACGGCGAGUGAAGCGGGAAGAGCUCAAAUUUGAAAUCUUAAAGGGUUUCCCUUUACGAAUUGUAGUUUAAAGAAGUGUUUUCUGUUGAGGUUUUGGUAAAAGUUCUUUGGAAUAGGACAUCAUAGAGGGUGAGAAUCCCGUAUUUGACCUUUACUUUCAACUUUGUGAUACACUUUCAAAGAGUCGGAUUGUUUGGGAAUGCAGUCCAAAAUGGGUGGUAAAUUUCAUCUAAAGCUAAAUAUUGGCGAGAGACCGAUAGCGAACAAGUACCGUGAGGGAAAGAUGAAAAGAACUUUGAAAAGAGAGUUAAACAGUACGUGAAAUUGUCAAAAGGGAAGCGUUUGACACCAGUGUUGUUUUUCUGAAAAUCAAUUAAAGAACUGUUUAUGCUAAGUUGUUUAGACUUUAUCAGCUAACUGUUUAGUUUUGAGCUUUUCUUUAAUGCACUUUUCAGUUAACAAGUCAACAUCAAUUUCUUUUGCUGUAAAAAAGCUUGAGGAAGGUGGCUUGAGAUUCGUCUUAAGUGUUUAUAGCCUCUUGCCUAUGCAGUCGGAGAGAUUGAGGUCUGCAGCGUAGAUCCUUCGGGGCUAAAUGCAUUUGUACUAAGUUAUAACAUUUUAUAGACAACUUGUUGACUAUGAUUUGUCUUGUAGCUUACUCGCUUAUGUUAUUUUACCUACGCUUAGGAUGUUGACAGCAGUAUAGACUGU